rnacentral:rRNA from 1 species
GACGAACGCUGGCGGCGUGCUUAACACAUGCAAGUCGAACGGAAAGGCCCUGCUUUUGUGGGGUGCUCGAGUGGCGAACGGGUGAGUAACACGUGAGUAACCUGCCCUUGACUUUGGGAUAACUUCAGGAAACUGGGGCUAAUACCGGAUAGGAGCUCCUGCUGCAUGGUGGGGGUUGGAAAGUUUCGGCGGUUGGGGAUGGACUCGCGGCUUAUCAGCUUGUUGGUGGGGUAGUGGCUUACCAAGGCUUUGACGGGUAGCCGGCCUGAGAGGGUGACCGGCAACAUUGGGACUGAGAUACGGCCCAGACUCCUACGGGAGGCAGCAGUGGGGAAUAUUGCACAAUGGGCGGAAGCCUGAUGCAGCAACGCCGCGUGCGGGAUGACGGCCUUCGGGUUGUAAACCGCUUUCGCAUGUGACGAAGCGUGAGUGACGGUAAUGGGUAAAGAAGCACCGGCUAACUACGUG